rnacentral:lncRNA from 1 species
GAAGUCAGCUAAUCACCCUCUGAGCGAAGUCACAUCAUCUUUCAGACUCUCUAUAUACUUAUUAGUGGCCUAUAAUUUUAGAACUUUUUCUUGAUUUUACAAGAAUACCAUGGUAAAGAGUAACUUUUUAAAAAGAAUUCUGUAGCAGUAUUUCAUUAACAGUGUGUGUCUGCUAUGCCUCUGAACUCCCUCAAAACACUUGGGACUAUCACACAAUGUAUUACAUAGUAAUUAAUAGUGCCACAAACACAAAAGUAUUACUGUUUCUAAUAUAUAUUGCUGUUAGUAUUGAAUUUCAUAGGGAUGCUUUGUGCCUAUAAUAAAAGUUUGUGUCGUGCUCUAUUUUUAAAUUAAUGAUAAAACCUUGCCUAUGUAUAUUCUCCCUCAUUAGGUCAAGCUUCCAGUGUGCAUCACAUUGAAAUAACAAAAUAAUAUUAGCAAGGAAAAAAAACAGUAAAAUUACCUUGGAAAAAAGUUAUCAAAAUUUUACUAUUUAUGAGUUUAGUAUUCCAACUUUGUAUCACAACUUUACAUCACAUGUGUGUUGACUUGUGUACAUACAUACACAUAGCUACAUAUAUAUAAAUAUACGUAGAUAUACUGAAGCGUACACAGAGAUUUUGUAAUUUUUUACAAAAAGUAAUAGCUACAGCCCAGACACCCUUUUCUAUUUCCUGGUGAGCUCAGUAGCUCUAGCAUAUGAUGUACAUGUCGUAUUGUUUGGGAAAUUCAUUCUGUGGUAGACACAGAGCUUCUAAAAUGUUUCUUUUUAAUUUAUGUGACAACAAAUAUUCAUGUUGUAAUUAUGACUAUUAGUAUAGGACUUUCUAUUUUAAAAAUCAUAUUAACUUGUGCUUUAGUUUAAGUGAAACUAAGUGAUACUAAAUUAAUAACUUACAUCUUAUCAUUUUUAUAUACUAUAAAAAUAUUGCUUUGGAAGCUGGAGAGAUGACUUAGUAGUUCAGAGCAUUGGGCCUGGGUCUAAUUCCCAGCACCCACAGGGAGACACUCUUAUCUUACACUACAUUUCCAGGGAAUCCAAUGCCCUUUCUGGCAUCCAUGUGCAUAGCUGGCACACAAACAUAUACAGGCAAGACAUUCAUACACACAAAAUAAAAGCAGAUAAAUCUAAAAACUAUUUCUUCUCUGGUUACUAACCACAGUCCCAAAGCUCUUUUGAAGUAUUUACUAAUUAUAUAUGUUUGGCAUAUACUAGUAACCUAAUUAUUAAACUUAUGCGUGACUCAUAAAAAUACCUGGUAUUUUACAUUAAUUUUAAAAAUAGGACAGAACAUAAACUUCCAUUUGGGGUGGCAGGUAAAUCUUUAGGGUGUUUCAUUGGUCCUUUACCAACAGCAUGCGUGUGUGCGUGUCUGCAUGCUUGCCUGCGUGUGUGCAUAUCCGUACAUGUGCGUGUCUGUUUGAAGGUCAGAGAACAACCUGGAGUAUUGGCCCUUGCCCUGUACUUCGUUUUAAACAGGGUCUCUUGACUGUUUUUCUGCUAACUUUGUCAAGCUAGUUGGCCUGUGAGCUUGUGGGGAUUCUGUUGUUUUGUCUUGCCUUCUCUUCUCAGUGUAGGAGUAUUAAGAUUGUUGGUGUUUGCAUUGUGGGGCUGGCUCCUUUACAUGGGUUUUGGAGAUUCAAACUCAGGUCUUAAUUCUUGCAUGGCAAACACUUUUACCCACCUAAGCCUUCUUCCUAGCCCCCAUUCCUUGAUUGUAAAAGGGGAAAGAAAGACUAAAAAUCUCACUAUAUUAAUGAUUAUAAUUUUAUAAUAAUAUACCAUGUCCCAUUUUUUGCAUUAGCUUUAAUAAUAGGACAAAACAGAAUAACUUCCCUUUGGUGUGAUAGAGAAAGCUGUGGGGUGUUCCACUGGUCUUUUGCCAGCAGCAACAAAUGGUGUGUGUGUGUGUGUGUGUCUUUGUGCAUCCAUUUCCUCCAUCCAUUUCCCCCAUCCAUCGCCUCCCUGUCUAUCACAGAACAUCUUAAAUGCCGCUAGCAGGCAUUAAGCUGUCCUCUCCAAUUUGUGGGUUUGUGGGCUAGUCCAGCAACAGGCUUUGGAGAAGUUGCUUGCCACCUUAUUAUAACAUACUUAAACUCAAUAGCAAUUCAGGCCUUACUGGGUGUUUACCUAAUUUAUUGUGGAAAUGUGGUAUUUAGACCAUUGAUUAAGUGAAGUUUGUCAGUACAGUUAAAAGAAAUUAGAGACACUAUCAUUGCUAAAUCACUUCACAAUUCAAAGAAGUAUUGUAAACAUAUGAAUCCAUUUAAUUAUAAUAGUGCCAAUUAUAAGAGAAAUUGUAACGCUGAAAACAGUGGCUUUUAUGUAAUCAUAAUAAUGGCAUGUAUUUAUCUUGGUUUGGCAAGUUGGGCCUUUCUUUAAUACUUGGCUUUGCCUAAAUAGACUGUGGUUUGCUGAAACCCACAAUAACCCCCACACCCUCCAAUUUCUUAUUUCAGAAAAUACUGAACAAUAAUCACAGGUUAUGAAUGCUUGCUGUAUGCAUGACUAGGAAUAGGACGUAUCUGUGGGGCUUAAAAGGGUUCUCAUUUACAUUCUUCCAUUGGCUGAAAGUUUAAAACAAAUAAAGAUUCCUGUGCUAAAUAUUCCCAUCUUUUCUCGCACAAGUGCUUGCAGGCUGGGUACAGUCAGAACUCUAUCACUUUUUGUGUCUCUUGUUUUUGUUUAUUCAAUACAUAUCCUUAAGUGUCAGUUGUAGCAUUUGAUAUGUAGUCUAUUAAAACUUACUGAGGACUUUGAAAGUGUCUUCUGUAAAACAUAAUAAGAAUAAAUUUAAUAUUUGAGUGUUGGCAAGCUUCAUUUGUAAUGUUGAGGUCAAAUACUACCUGUUAGAAUAACAGUUUGAAAAGCAUGUGUGAAAAAUUUCAUUCUCUACUUAAUAAAAUGACUUAAUAAAAUUACUAUUAUUACUGAGGGAAAGGUGCUAUCUAGUGGUAUAAACAAAAUCACUCUGCAGUUGGAGCCUUGCUGCACGUUAAUACCAGCCUUUCAAGCUCCCCACCUGCUUUCAGGAAGGUAAUUUGCUGCAGCCACACACUGUAGGCACGGGGCAAAGAAACCUCACUGUUGCUGAGUGAAUGAGCGAAGGGCGCCAACUGAAACUCUACU